GCUCAGUUACUUUAAUAUGACAAAGUAGUAUUAGCAACUUUACUAAUAAAAUUUAAUGAUCAUUUGUGAAAUUAAUCAUUGAUGUAGUGGUUGUUUUAGUAUGAAUUUUGUUAAUUUAGUCAAUAGUUGCUGAAACAUAUCGAGUAAAAGUAGAUAUGAUUCUCUAGCACUAACCAGAAACAUUAGUAUUCAGGUUUAGAACGGCCUCCUAUGUAUCCGUCCUCAAGCCAAUGAUAAUCUUCUUUUAUUAUGUUAAUUCGUGUAUAAUCUAGUAGGCUUGAGAUAUUCUGGCAAACAAAAGUGAUAACUAAAGAGAGUAGCAGUUUUGAAGGCAUUAGUUGCAGAUAUCUUUGAUAUUCUUAGUUCAUUCAGGUUUUAUCUAUUGAGAACUAUAUGUAAAGAAGAUGUUGCUUGACAUAUUCAUUGUGUUGAGUUUAUUAGCACACUUGACUUUCUUUAUUCGAAACCAUUUUUCUUGGUGUUAAUUCUGUUCUGGGGGUCAGUAAGAAAUCCAUUUUUGUUCUAAAUGCUAGAGGUGUGGCAAUGGUUUUGUAGUGACUCUAAACUGGAUAGAGGAACUCUGUUGUGGCUGUCUUCUCUGGAAAAUGAGAGUUUGCUCAGAUGGUUUGACUGACUUAGUUUACGAAUAAGGAACGGGGAAAUUUGUGAAAGCGGUCUUAGUACCCUUGGCUUGCCUAUAAAAAAAGAAAAAUGGAAGGAACUUUUUAGCACUAAUGACUUGUUUGUUGGGUUCAAAGUAUAUGAAAAAAUGUGAAUGAAAAAUGAAGGAAAAAUGGUGGAGAGAAGGGAGACACUAAUUUAGAAAGUGUACUCCCAAAUUGGAAAGUUCAUUCUUUCUUUCUCCCACAUUGGUGGAAGAAGAAAACUUGUGAGUGUUUAAAAUAAGGAACACUAACUCCACAUGGUAAGUGAGACAAGAAAUAAGAGAUGCCUUGUGCCGUUGUUGUCGUCGUUCGGCAUCGGCAAAUGAUCGAUCGAUGAGAUCUAUCUUUUUGGACAAAGUUUGCCUCGCGCCGCUGCUGUCGUCACUCACUCGGCUUCGGAUUCGGCAAAUGAUCGAUCGAUGAGAUCUAUCUUUUUGGAAAAAGUUUAUUUGACAGAAAUUCAGUUUGAAAAUACCAAAGGAAAAAAUGCAACUUUUUUCUGUGUUUUGAUACUCCAUUUAUAUGCGUGCAUGCAGAUUCCGAAAUAGUGUUUCGAAACAGUGCAGUGCUGAAACGAAGGGAUGCAACCCUUCAACGAAAUGACACACUGAUUCAUGAAAUGGUAUGCCUGUUCGGAAAAGACACAUUCUUUGGACGAACAGACAUGGUUUUUCCAGAAAGGUCACACCUUUUAAGUGAACCAUUGCCACUUUUCAGAAGAGGCUCAUGUUGGCUAUAUAAACCUGCUUUCAUCCACAGGUUUAGGUAUGAAUUUUCUGAAAUACAAACUCUCUUCUUGUCUUGAAAAACUUCUGUGUGAUCUAUCAAACUGUUGAGUGAGUUCACUGAAUCCAACAAUUUGAGGUACCGUUAUUGUUCGGAUUGAAGGUCAUUUUAUCCUAGGAGGAAGAUUCCAAAACCUCAGAUACAGUGAGGGGAGUUAUACCUUAAGGACACUCCGUGAAUUCGGAGGACUUGGUCUUAAAUUCUGUUUCAUCUCUUUUUUGAAUCUUAACACACUUCUUAGAUAGAUUAUUCAUAAUCUAGAGUUGAAGGUGUUACAGAACUUCAUGACUGUUCUUGUCUUGGACUUGAACUAAUGUUGAAGUUUGUGUUUCUUAUAUACAGAUUCUUGUACCGGAAACAUUGAAAGACAACAAUCUUAAGGAAUAAUCUUUAGAAAAAGGAAAAAAAAUUUUUUUUGCUUGUUUGGUGAAAUUUUCUUUUCACUAAAGUUUUUUUUUUUUUGGAAUCUGUAUUGCUUGAUUUCUUGAGUUUAAAGCUUUUAGCUUUCUACUCCGUUUGAACUUAACUAGUGAUUUGAAGACAUAGAAUAUUCAUCACAAGUUAAAGAUCACUCGGUUGACGAUUGGAAGUCAUAAAAACUUCAUCGUUAAACUAGAAACAAGAGGUGUUUAAAGUUGCUGCAACUUUAUUAGUAGUAUUUUGACAUACUAAAGGUUCUGUCUUGUUGUGACAGGAAAAUGGCGACUGAUAGUCAAAUGCAUGAUGCCGGAACAACUAUAGCGGCAACUAGUAUUGCCAUGACGAGUCGUACUAAUGCUCCGCAAGCUAUGGCACCAGCGGAGAAACCCGAAAAGUUUGCGGGUAUUGACUUCAAGAGAUGGUAGUAAAAAAUGUUCUUUUACCUCACCACUCUAUGCCUUCAAAGGUUCACUAGUGAGGAUGCUCCUGAGGUGACCGAGGGAACCUCGGACAAAGAGCAUUCAUGAUUGUAGAAGCUUGGAAACUCUUGGACUUCCUUUGCAGGAAUUAUAUAUUGAGUGGUCUCCAAGAUGACCUCUACAAUGUUUUACAGUGGAACUAAGACAUCGAAGGAAUUGUGGGGGCACUAGAACGAAAAUGCAAGACAGAGGAUGCGGGAAUUAAGAAAUUCUUUGUUGCAAGUUUCUUGGACUUUAAAAUGAUAGAUAGUAAAUCAGUUGUCUCUCAAGUGCAGGAAUUGCAAGUAAUCAUUCACGAUUUCCUAGCAGAAAGUUUGAUUGUGAAUGAUGCAUUUCAAGUAGCAGCGAUCAUUGAGAAGCUACCACUUAUGUGGAAAGACUUCAAAAACUACUUGAAGCACAAACGCAAGGUGAUGACUGUCGAAGAUCUUAUUGUCCGACUACGUAUUGAAGAGGAUAAUAAGGCUAUUGAGAGAAGUUCAAAAGGGAAUUCUACAAUUAAUGAAGCACAUAUUGUAGAAGAUGACCAAAACAAUUCUAAGAAAAGGAAAAAAGCUGAACAAACAAACCAUCAAUCCAAGAAGAAAUUCAAGGGAAAGUGCUUCAACUGUGGUAAGAUUGGCCAUAAGUCCACGGAUUGUCGUGCCCCUAAGAAAGGCAAGAAAAAGGACCAGGCAAAUAUGAUUGAGUCCAACAAAGAAUGUGAUGAUCUGUGUGCUAUGUUUUCAUAAUGCAACUUGGUGGGAAAUCCUCGCGAGUGGUGGAUGGAUUCUGGUGCCACCCGCCAUGUUUGUGCCAACAAAGAGUUGUUUUCAUCAUUCACUCCGGCUCAAGUAGAAGAAAUGAUCUACAUGGCUAACUCCGCUACGGCUAAGGUAGAAGGAACAGGAAAAGUGGGCUUGAAAAUUCCUUCAGGAAAGGUCUUGAAACUUAACAAUGUCUUGUAUUUUUCGGAGUUACGUAGGAACUUAAUUUCUGUUUCACUUCUAGACAAGAACGGAUUCAAAUGUGUAACCGUUUUUGGAAAAGUUGUAAUUAGCAAAGGAGAAGUGUAGGUAGGAAAAGACUAUCUCACCGAGGGCCUUUAUAAGAUGAAUGUAAUGAAUGUUGAAAUCAAUAAAAAAUCAAAUUCUUCUUACUUGCUUGAGUCUUAUAAUUUGUGGCAUGAAUGUUUAGGCCAUGUUAAUUAUAAAACGUUACAAAAACUGAUUAACUUAGAGGUUUUGCCAAACUUUUGCAAUAAAUCAAAGUGUCAAACGUGUGUGGAAUCAAAGUAUGCAAAGCAUCCUUAUAAGUCCGUUGAAAGGAAUUCCAAUCUUUUAGACUUAGUACACACUGACAUUUGUGAUAUGAAGUCAACAUCAUCACGUGGAGGGAAAAAGUAUUUCAUAACUUUUAUUAAUGAUUGCACUAGAUAUUGUUAUGUCUAUUUGCUAAACAGUAAGGAUGAAGCAAUAGAUGCGUUUAGGCAAUAUAAAAUUGAAGUUGAAAAUCAGUUAGAGAAAAAGAUAAAAACGAUAAAAAGUGAUAGGGGCGGAGAAUAUGAAUCUCCCUUCGCCGAAAUAUGUGUAGAGAAUGGAAUUGUCCAUCAAACUACGACCCCAUAUUCACCUCAAUCUAAUGGAAUUGCAGAAAGGAAAAGCUGAACUUUGAAGGAAAUAAUGAAUGCCUUACUUAUUAGUUCAGGUUUAUCGCAAAACUUGUGGGGGAGACUAUCCUUACAGCCAACCGAAUACUCAAUAGAGUUCCCCAUAGUAAGAUACAAUCAAUCUCUUAUGAAAAAUGGAAAGGAAGGAAACCUAACUUGAAAUAUUUCAAAGUGUGGAGGUGUUUAGCAAAGGUCCAAGUUCCUAUGUCUAAAAGGAUUAAGAUAGGACCUAAGACGGUGGACUAUGUGUUCAUAAGAUAUGCUAAAAUUAGUAAAGCAUGUCGGUUUUUGGUUCAUAAAUGCGAACAUCUGGAUAUUAAUGAAAAUACGGUAAUUGAAUCAGAUAAUGUUGAAUUCUUUGAAAACAUUUAUUCAUAUAAAACUAGACAUGAACAGUCUAGUGGAGGGUCUAAACGACCUCGAGAUGAACUAAGUGAGAAUGUAUAUAAUGAUGAGAAUCUAAGACGUAGUACCCGUCAAAGAACGUCAACUUCAUUUGGAUUGAAUUUUGUAACAUUGCUCUUAGAAAAUAAGUCUCAAACAUCUUCGGACUCAUUCUUUUGGAAAGAGGCAGUCGAUAAUGAGAUUGAUUCAAUCUUAAGCAACCAUACGUGGGAGUUUGUUGAUCUUUCUCAAGGAAACAAACCUUUAGGAUCUAAAUAGAUCUUCAAAAGGAAAAUGAAAGCGGAUGGUACUAUUGACAAAUACAAGGCAAGACUUGUAGUAAAAAGCUUUAAACAAAAAGAAAGCCUUGAUUACUUUGAUACAUACUCGUCGCUAACAAGGAUAACGUCGAUUCGAAUGUUAAUUGCCUUGGCAGCGGUAUAUGGUCUUGAAAUCCAUCAAAUGGAUGUAAAAAUCGCAUUCCUAAAUAGAGAAUUGGAGAAAGAAAUUUACACGGAACAACCUGAGUGUUUUGUGGUUCCAGGAAAAGAAAAUAAGGUGUGUAAACUUAUUAAGUCACUUUAUGGACUAAAACAAGUACCUAAGCAAUGACAUGCAAAGUUUGACCAAACCAUGUUGGCAAAUGAAUUCAAAAUUAAUGAAUGUGAUAAAUGUGUUUAUAUUAAAGACACUCCAAAUCACCAAGUCAUUGUGUGUUUAUAUGUGGAUGAUAUGUUGAUCAUCAGUAGAGACAUUUCAGACAUAAAUGCAACGAAACGAAUGCUCGAGAGCAACUUUGAUAUGAAAGACCUUGGAGUUGCAGAUGUGAUCUUAGGUAUAAGAAUCUAUAGAACUCCACAAGGGUUGGCAUUGUCACAGUUUCAUUAUAUCGAAAAGGUACUUGACAAAUUCAAGUAUAUGGAAUUCGGUAUUGCCAAGACUCCUUUGGAUGUGAGCUUUGCACUUGGAAAGAAUGAAGGUGAAAAUGACUCACAAUUGGAGUACGAAAGAGUAUUGGGAUGUUUAAUAUAUAUAAUGAACUGUACACGACCAGACAUAGCAUGCGCCAUAAGUAAGUUGAGUCAGUACACGAGUAAUCCUAAUAAAACUUAUUGGAUGACAAUGAAAAAAGUUUUGGGGUAUCUUAAAUACACUCAAGACUACGCUUUGCAUUAUGAUAAAUAUCCCGCGGUACUUGAAGGAUAUAGUGAUGCAAAUUGGAUCACCGGAUCAAACGAAGUAAAAUCUACGAGUGGAUAUUUAUUUACUAUUGGUGGAGGAGCUGUCUCUUGGAAAUCAUCCAAACAGACUUGUAUUGUUCGCUCUACAGUGGAAUCUGAAUUUAUCGCAUUAGAUAAAGUCAGUGAAGAAACAGAAUGGCUCCGGAAUUUCUUGAAAGAUAUUCCUUAUUGGCCCAAACCAGUGGCACCAAUAUGUAUACACUGUGAUAGGCAAGCAGCGAUAGGUAGGGCAGGGAGCAUGAUGUACAAUGUUAAAUCACAUCACAUAAGACGGAGACAUAAUACCGUUAGAGAACUUCUCUCUAGUGGAAUUAUCACUGUUGACUAUGUGAAGUCAAAGGAUAAUGUGUUAGAUCCACUUACAAAAGGCCUAUCUAGAAAAGAAGUGGAAAAGACAUCCAAGGAAAUGGGUUUAAGGCCUAGAACAAGUCAGCAUGACGGUAACUCUACCUAGCAGAAUGGAGAUCCCAAGAGCUAGGUUCAAGGAGAUCAAACAAAGCUGUGUGGUUCAACAUUGUCAAUUACCCAACCUAUUCUCAUGAUGUAGACAAUGUUUAGUAAACAAGGAUAACACUUAAGGUGAAAAGUUUUUUAAUGAUUAUCUAAAUUUGGCAGAUUUGAUCAAAUAGUUUAAUCUAUAGGAUUGAACGUUUAGAAAUCACCUAUGUGAAGGCGAAGUGGAAGCCGCUUUAAGAAAAAUGUUAGUAAAGGUCUAUUCUCUAAGCUCUCAUAAAAUCGGGACGUGUUCAGGGCUAAAAAGAACAAAAUUGUGAGAACCAUAAAUGGUAAAAGGCUGGUUGUGUGACAUGUGUUGUCUAGGUGUACACUAAAGCUCGACGGUUCAAAGAUAUCAAAUCUACCGAUUGAUCAAGUGCAUCCGAUGCAUGUUCACUACAGAAAGUUCAAAAGGAAACCCACUUAUUCAGAUGCAAUCAGUCUUUACUUGAUGAUCACAUACUUGUCCGUAAAAAUUUUAUGAAAAAUAGCCAUUUUCCAUUCAUGUGGGAGAUUGUUGGGUUCAAAGUAUAUGAAAAAAGUAUGAAUGAAAAAUGGAGGAAAAAUGGUGGAGAGAAGGGAGACACUAAUUUAGAAAGUGUACUCCCAAAUUGAAAAGUUCACUCUUUCUCCCACAUUGAUGGAAUAAGAGAACUUGUGAGUGUUUAAAAUAAGGAACACUAACUCCACAUGAUAAGUGAGGCAAGAAAUAAGAGAUGCCUCGCGCCGUCGUCGUCGCUCGCUCGGCUCGACUUCAGAUUUGGAUUUGUCAAAUGAUCGAUCGAUGAGAUCUAUCUUUUUGGACAAAGUUUAUUUGACAGAAAUUCAGAAAUUCAGUUCGAAAAUACCGAAGGGAAAAUCGCAACUUUUUUCUGUGUUUUGAUACUCCAUUUAUAUGUAUGCAUGCAGAUUCCGAAACAGUGUUUCGAAACUGUGCAGUGCUGAAACGAAGGGAUGCAACCCUUCAACGAAAUGACACACUGAUUCAUGAACUAGAAUGCCUGUUCGGAAAAGACACAUUCUUUGGACGAACAGACAUGGCUUUUCCAAAAAGGUCACACCUUUUAAGUGAACCAUUGCCACUUUUCAGAAGGGGCACAUGUUGGCUAUAUAAACCUGCGAGGUACCGCUAUUGUUCGGAUUGAAGGCCAUUUUAUCCUGGGAGGAUGAUUCCAAAACCUCAGGUACAGUGAGGGGAAUUAUUCCUUAAGGACACUCCGUGAAUUCGGAGGACUUGGUCUUAAAUUCUGUUUCAUCUCUUUUCUGAAUCUUAACACACUUCUUAGAUAGAUUAUUCGUAAUCUAGUGUUGAAGGUGUUAUAGAACUUCAUAAGUGUUCUUGUCUUGGACUUGAACUAGUGUUGAAGUUUGUGUUUCUUAUAGACAGAUUCUUGUACCCGAAUACAUAAAAGAUAACAUUGUUUGCAUACCUUUUUUAUCCUUUAUAUAAAUGAAGAAUGUCUAUGAAGAAGCAUUGGAUUUAAUUUUGUGGAACAGUUUGGAAUGUCUAGUGCGCUGGAGACUCUAUGUGGGCAGGCUUAUGGAGCAGGACAAUAUCGAAAACUUGGAACUUUUACUUACAGUGCUAUUAUUUGUCUAUUUCUGGUGUGCAUACCAGUCUCUUUUCUGUGGAUAUCCACAGAUAAACUUCUUAUAUUAAUGGGUCAAGAUCCUUCAAUAGCAGCUGAAGCUGGAAAAUAUGCAAUUUGGCUCAUUCCUACACUAUUUGCAUAUGCUAUUCUUCAGUCAUUUGUCCGGUAUCUGCAGGCACAAAGUUUAAUCCUACCAAUGCUUAUAAAUGCAGUUGCAUCUUUAUGCUUCCAAGUGACAGUUUGCUGGGCUUUUAUAUUCAAAUUGAAUUUAGGAAGUGCCGGAGCAGCGCUGUCAAUUGGUUUAUCCUAUUGGUUGAAUGUGAUCGCUUAUGUUUUAUGUGAAGUACGCAUCGGCUUGUGAAAAGACUCGAGCUUCAUUCUCUACGGAUGUUUUCCUGACUAUAGGGGACUUUUUCCACUUUGCGAUCCCAUCUGCUGUAAUGGUUUGGUAAUCUCAAUAGCAGAACGUACAUAUAUUUUUGUGAUUUGAGUUUAACCAUGAUUCUUGUCUUUUGAUCAUUAAUGUAUUACUUCAACUUCUUUUACGAACAUGGAUAUAGCUUGGAAUGGUGGUCAUUUGAGAUAAUUAUUCUUCUCUCCAGUCUGUUUCCAAAUCCGAUGUUAGAAACUUCUGUUCUAUCCAUAUGGUAUGCUUCCUUUUCUAUGUGAUCUUUGUUCUUUUUUUUCCUUUGAUGUUUGAAAUAACUAUAUAUUGAUGCAUUGUCAUGGUCUAAUCUCUUGGAGAGCAGCUUUACAACCACUUCUGUGCACUACCAUGUACCUUAUUCUUUU
rnacentral:lncRNA from 1 species